GAUGAACGCUGGCGGCGUGCUUAACACAUGCAAGUCGAACGGAAAGGCCCUGCUUUUGUUGGGUUCUCGAUUGCCGAACGCGUGAGUAACACGUGAGUAACCUGCCCUUGACUUUCGGAUAACUUCAGGAAACUAGGGCUAAUACCGGAUAGGAUCUCCUGCACCAUGGUGAGGGUUGGAACUUUUCGGCGGUUGGGGAUGGACUCGCGGAUUAUCAGCUUGUUUGUGGGGUAGGGGCUUACCAAGGGUUUGGAGGGUAGGCGGCCUGAGAGGGUGACCGCGCACAUUGCGACUGAGGUACGGAGCAGGCUACUACGGGAGGCAGUAGUGGCAAAUAUUAUACAAUGAGCGGAAGUGUGAUGCAACGCCGUAGCGUGCGUAAUGACGGUCUUGGGGUUGUAAACCGCUUUUGUCUGUGACGAGGCGAGAGUGACGGUAAUCGGUAAAAAAGCACGGGCUAACUACGUG
rnacentral:rRNA from 1 species